CGUUUUCAUUCUUUAUUUCAUUCAUUUAUUUGUUUGUUUUUUUCUGUCUUCUACCAUCGUUUUUUUAUUUUUCUUUUCUUUCCAUAAUCGUUGAAAGUUGGCAGCCGGUGAGUAUUAACAAUCACUAUAUCUAUCAGCUUUACUGUAUAUAAAUAACCUCUCCACACUGUUGUUUACUCAUUGUUUACGUCGUUUGUCGCCACCACGCUGACGUGUCUAUGACGUAAUAAUGAAUAUGACGUCCAUUCAAAGCUAUUUUAAGCCCGCGUUAAUGCCACAUAAAACAUGGCGGACAAGCUGAUUACUUCUGCAGAAACUACUCUUCGCCAUCAGCUGUAGAUAUCGUGAGCUUGAAAAAAAGGUCCUGGAGGUGGAAGAAAUAACUGCAGAUGUUGGCAUACGUAGUGCAUGGAACCAUAACCUCUGAUGUCUCGCAAGCUAUUUUUCGCCCCCUGCCAUCGAGUCUACUGGCAGUUCGUCAACUCACGUGCUUAUCUCCAGUUUCCGCGUGCCUGCCACGUGUACGUCUGCUCGUCUGUAUUGCAUUCUUGGCUCCUACUCCAGGGCUGAGGACCGACUUCGUCGAAAGAGAUAUUCUAAUCCGUAAACAGGAAAAGUUGAAUUAAGCAAUUUGCACAGCGAGUUGGCUUGGUGGUUAACGGGACAAAGACCAGACCUCCGCCAGAUCUCAACGGUCCAUCUGACACAAGCUUUUCCUCCGUCAAGACCUGGG